CCCAAAAAACUUAACGAUGUUUACUCAGUUUGCUUGCCCUAAAAAUUGCCUAAGACGAGCCAACUAACUUGUGAUCCUAUUUGAACAAUGGUAUUUUUCUUCACUCGUUUCCUAACAUAAAUGAGGCAAAAGGGGCAGCUAAUAGGAUUCCAGAAGCACCUGUGGGCUAACCAUAAAACCAGAAUGCCUUCCAAACAAAGGCCUUGGAGAGGUUUUAAGUCUAAGGAAAUCAGGAAGAAGACCAAAAGUCAUCAUGCUUUUAACCUCAAAACAAAGGCCCAUCUAAUAACCCACAAAGGGGAUUAGGGGGUCACAUGUACAUUUCUAUAGUUUAAUUAUAUACGAAAUAAGACAACAUAUAGUCUACCAUCUUGAUUUUGUCAGACAUCACAGUGAAAAAAAAAUACAGUGAAAUAUACUUUGUUAGGAAAAAAAAGU
rnacentral:lncRNA from 1 species